rnacentral:lncRNA from 1 species
AUGAUGUCUUUUACAGAAAAGGUUGUAGAAAAUUCAACAGAAGAUGUAAUGGAAGAACUCGAUAUUCCUUCUUCACCAGCAAAGGCAACCGACAGUGUGGAGGGUGAAAAUGCCCCAACAACAGCUGAGCAUUGGUCUUCUGGCUUCUGUUCUAAUAGAACUUCAUGUGAAACAUUACCAGCAGUGGAGACAGUUUCAUCUAGUGAGGAUAACGAGAUCCCUCAAACGCACAAAAAACAGGUCACCACCCACACAGCAUGGGGAGUCCUCUGGAAUCUGUUCCGGUAGGGGCCCUACAAAAGGUGAAUUGUAAAACUUGUUACACUAACUUGUAACACCGUUUUUGCAUAUUAAAUUUAAAAGUGUGCUUUCACCAGAAGAUGAUCUAACUGUAUACACUCCUAGUUAGGAUAACACAAAGUUAUGGAUUGGAAACAAGGAUUUCUUUGUCAUACAUAAGUUGCUUUUACAGUAGAUAGCAAUUUUCUGCUUACAUUAUUUUAAUGGUAAAAUUUUUGUGCUUAGAUUUGUUCAUAGCAUUAAUGAAUUUGUUUUUAUAUACUAUUUACUAUUCUUGAAACAGGCAAAGCAAAAAGAAUGCCAUGGACGCAAUCAGAGGUUGAGGCUGUGGAGAAACACAUGAUCCGCUUCAUCCAUUCUUGCGUGGUACCAUCAAAGCUGGAUUGUGAGAAAUGCAUCAGAGCUGAACAAGAGGCUCUUAACAACCGGACUUGGCAGAAUGUUAAAUUCUUUGUGCAUAAUCGCAUUACAGCGUACAAAAAAAAGUUCUUAGUAAAUGUUGAGUAAAUGUUGAAUGUAUACUGGCACUAUAGGUUCAUGCAAAAAUGUAAAGUUUGAGUCUGUCCUGUCACUUUUUUUGUUGUUUGCUGCUGUUGUAAGUAAUUGUCAGCUGUUUUAUUAAAACGUUCAGUUAAACAAUUCAUAGGAGUUUAAAACUUAUAUUUCAUGUAAAAAUGUCCACUCUGUUAGGUUAGGUUACUAAUAUUUUGAAAUCUUUUUAUACACUAAUCUUUCAGGUGAGUUAUCUAAUAAUCUAAGCUAUAGUUAUUAGGUCCCCAGAACUCAUGAUGAAGUGUUAACUAUGCAAAUUCUAUGCAAAUUGGGUUCCCACAACACAUGUUUAAUGUUUUUUCCGGAUGUCCCCAAAAAGCAUGAUUAGAAAGUCUACAUUCAGAAAUUUCAGAAUUGUGAGUAUCUGAAUGUGUGUAUGAGCUCCCUGCGUAAUGGCCAAUUUACCUGAUUUUUUUUCAAACCUGUAGCCCUUCGGGAAAGGGUAGUCCCCGAAAGGGAUGCUUAAACAAGUCGUCCCCACAACCCGUGAAAACCUGUGUGUGUGUGUGUGUGUGUGUGUGUGUGUAUUUAAGACAAUUGCUUCUGUCUUAAAUCCCACACAAUCGUGUUGCUUGAAACCUUGUGCGGAGAUGUGCAAUAAAUAAAAAAUGAGAUCCGGGAAUGGUGGAACU